CCAAAACCUAAGUAUAUUUUUCUCUGAUUCAAGAUAUGGCGGCGAGUGGAAAUCAAAGCCCAAAUUCUUGCCCACCUUUCUAUCGACUAAACCGUCUUUCAUUCAUAUCAAUCUUCAACGAGAAACAACUUCAACCUCUGGCCAUUGUUUUGGUGGUGUAAUUGGCAAAGGAGACGAUGUUGGUGGUAGAAUCGAAAUGGGUAGAUGCUUAAUUGGUGGUGGAUCAUGUACUAGAUGGCGUUUUUGGUGGUGGAAUUGGAAUGUGUUGCGAUGUAAUCGGAAGGCUUGGUGGUAGAUCUUCUCAAUCAGGUCAUUGAUAUUCUAGCGAGGGAGUAGGUGAUUCAGCAAUGGUAUUACUGCUGCUUCAGGUAUAUCAGCUGAACUAGGAAUUUUGUUGAGGCAUCGCAACUAGUGUUAGAUAUCUCACCAGUCACCGGACACUCAAGGAAUGGGGGAACUGAUCUGUUGUAUGUAGCAGAGAAUGUUGUUGACCCUGAAUGUACCCUAGUUGUAUAUAUGGGUUUGGCAACACUUCCUGCUUGUCCAGAAAUUGGCACAACAUGGCCUGCCUAAUGAUACUCAUGUUGUUGCAGUGGAAAGAGGGACAACUGCUCAACAACAUUUGGUUUUGAAGAGAGUAAAGAGUUUCCUAUCGUCUGGCACACAGUCGUUGCGGGGCGAUACUGCAUUACUAAGUACCUGGGUUCUGCGGCUUUCAGCAAAGUUGUUUAGGCUCAUGAUAUCCAGACUGGAGUUUAUGCUUGCUAAAAGUCAUUAAAAAUGACAGAUUUUAUUUGUAAAAGUUUGGAUGAAAUCGAACUUCUCAAGUAUGUCAACAAGAAUGAUCCUGCGGAUAAGCACCACAUUUUACAUCUCUGUGACUACUUUUACCAUCAGGUUUGUACAAUGUGUGGGAAUCUCUAUGACUACUUUUACCUUCCCCUGACUAUGCUGGUCUUAAUUACUGUUGUUUCAUCUGUUAAUUAUGAAGUAUAACAUGAAAAGGGUUCUAUUGAAAUUUUAUGCACUAAAAAAAAUCUCCUGUAAAGAAGCUGGCCAAUGCCUAGUAAGUUAGUAGCCUUAGUAAAGAAAUCUAGUGGAUAAUUUGGUCAUAAGCUAAAGAAAUAAUUUUAUCUGUUAGUGUUAUGUUCAAAAUCAAAGCAACCUUGUUUAUAUUAACUAAAAAGAUCAACCUAUUUUGACAUUCAUUGUGAAAU